rnacentral:ncRNA from 1 species
CACAAAUCGCAGAUGGAAAAAAGUAAGGCGGCAGAUUUCUCACAGAGAGUCGGAUUAGGUGCGAGCCGACAGAAUAUAAAGCCUGAAUUCAUUCCGGAGAGAUGAGCCGAAAGCGCAGAGCCUGUAAGCCAUUCGGGUAAGCCCGUUACAGCUUUAAAGACCGUAUACCAGUGCUGUGCACCUGUACGGUGAAUUGAGGUGGUACCGUGGAUAUAUAUCCGCCCUCAGA